rnacentral:lncRNA from 1 species
CACAAAUGAUCAGGUGGCAGAUGGGUUCACAAAGUCUUUGUCAACACAAAAGGUUGAAGCAUUCCGACGCGAUAUCAACCUAGAACGGUUUAUAUUGAGGGGAAGUGUUGAAAGAUAGAUUAUGUUAGUAUUUGUGUUUGACUUGUAAUCAAAGGAAUAUCCAACGUUAGAGAUAUGGCCAGGAGGUUAGGAUCUAGAUAAGAUUUGGUAUAGUUUAUUUAGAGCUGCUGUAACCAAUCUCCUGGCCUAUCCCAUCGUGUGAUAUCUCCUCAUGUGUAUAAAUGCCACGCACGGGGCUUUUCCACAGUAGAUUGUGCGCGCACCCAAGCUAGGGGCCAACGGUUCCACAAACACAUCUAUUUCCUUUCAGUGCCAUCAAGAUCGAGUGCCAUGCACCCUCGCUCCAUCCAUCAGCAUCCAUGAUGACUCCCUCCUAUUGUUGGAAUGCUCUUAUUGCCUUAACCACCACAUUUUGCUACUUCCCCAUCGCCGACACCGCCGACACCGCUCACUUCUUGUUCUCCACACUCUCUGACAAUGGCCCCCCACUUCGCCGCUCCGUGCACCUACUUUGCCGGUCCAUCAACUUCCUAAAUCUCUCCUUCCUAAUCACAAACCCAUCCCGCAUCCUAAAUUCUGGAACCCUACCCCCUUCCAUGUU